UUUAUGAGCCUUGGGGCAAGAAAUUUCUAUUUUCACCACCAAGGGUUGGUGUUGAGCUUCAGAUCCUGCCCUCUGGGGACCCCUCUCCUCCUUCCCGACUUGGGAGCAGGAGAAGGCAAGCAAGGCUGGGGCGGGUGCGCAGCCGAGGGUCCCCAGGCCGAGCUCCUCAUGUAUAAAACAGGGGGGCUUUUCCUCCGCAGCUCAUUAGAACCUCUGGGCGGAAAGACUGGCCCCGUCAUUUCCCUUGCAAAUGAAGCUCCCGCUCCGCCGCCUUUUCCACUUUAAUACCUCAUCAACCCAGCAGGCGACCCGGAGCCCGCUGCUUGACUCCGCCCGUCGCCGGGCAGCUGUUUGGCACAUUUCAAUUAGCGCGACGCGUCCCUGGUAAACAGCCGAGGCCGGCUGCGGGCACCUGCAGACCCUGACCCCCGACGCCGCCCCGAGACCCUGAAGACGCGGCUGCGACCCCACCGGUAAUUAGGAGGUUUUCAAGGCCGGUGUCCCCCAAGCCCAGACCAGCUGGAGAGCUCAGCCCCGCGGUCCCGCCGCGGUCUCCACCGCCAACCUCUCAGAAGUCAGGGAAUCCGCUGUCAGGGUGCACAGGAACUGCGGAGCCUUUCUCUAUGAAACACCAGAAAACCAAAGAAACCGCUCUGUCACCCCAGCACUUUGGGAAGCCAAGGCAGUGGAUCACUUGAGGUCAGGAGUUCAAGACCAGCCUGGCCAACAUGGUGAAACCCUGUCUCUACUAAAAAUACAAAAAAAUAGCUAGGAAUGGUGGUGCAUGCCUGUAACCCCAGCUAUUUGAGAGGCUGAGGCAGGAGAAUGGCUUGAACUCGGGAGGUGGAGAUUGCAGUGAGUCAGGAUUGCAUCACUGCACUCCAGCCUGGUGACAGAGAGACUCAGUAGGAAAGGAGAGGAGAGGGGAGAGGGGAGAAGGGGAGAAGAAGGGGGGAGGGAGAGAGGGAGGAAAAGGGGGAGGAGGGGGAGGGGAAGGGAAGGGACCACCACAAAAACCAUAUCCAGCUGAAGGCGGGGCUGAGUUUGCAGGAAGGAGGGGAAGCCCAAGGAACCCAGUGCAGCAGGACGCUGGAAACUGGCUGGUGGCCACGGAAGUGUGGCCCACGCAGGCUGAGGCUCCCUGACUCUGGGGUCUGGGGCUUGGACUUUGACUCUUCCAUGGAAACGAGGUGUGGCCUCGGGGAUGGACAUGCAGAAUCGAGAUCCCUGCAUAAAGCCAGGCCCCUCAGGACUUUGGCCUCUGUGGAGGGACAGAGCAAAAUGCCCAUCCCCAGCAUGGGGAGAUGGGGAGGGUGGUCUGUCACUGUGGAAGAAGGGAGAUCAGAGAUAUUAGCAGAGUGGUCUCCAGAACUGAUGAAAACCAGGCACCAUCAGAUUCAGAAGCCCCACUGAGUCCCCAGCAGACACUGGCCCUGGACAUGGGGGCUUAGGACACAGUCACCAGACAGGAGACUGUACCCUCCGGGCCUGGUGCCUCACCCAGCACUGCUGCAGGGGGAAUGUUUGCUGAAUGGAUGGUGAUGGGGUGAGGGAAAAGAGAUGGGAAAGUGAGGGUGUCUAAAUCCAGCUUGAGACAAGACCGAGGAAUUCCCAAUCUCCACCCACCUUCCACCUCUACCAGGGCCACAGGACAGGGUGGACACCGGCAUGGGGCUGGGGGAGCCACGGGGUCCAGGGGUAUCUCCUGUGGGCCCAAGGAGCCCUCCCACAGCUAAGCCCCUAGCCUGAAACUCUCCCAGCACUCUGAAAGUCCAAUCCCACCCAGCCCUGGGCUGCUCCACAGGGCCCCAGACUGGAGAAGACCCCCCAAAAGGGUCUCUAAAGAAGAGGCGGCUGGUGGUCAGGCCUGGGCAGCCAGGGCCAGCUGUGGGAGCUGAGAGUUGAUGGGGAGAACGUGCUCUGUUGGCUUCAUGCCCCAACAUCAAGGGGAACCAGCUGCACCGUUCCCCUGAAUCACAGUCUCUUGAGCCCAAUAUUCAAAUCUAUGCAGACGUUGGAGCCUGGACAUUUUUAGCAGAAACUCAGAGGGAGAUGAUCUCAGGCUGACUCGGAGCGGGAGGGGCUGGUCCCAGAGGAGCACAGAACCCACCUGAAAAGUCGGGGUUGGGGACCACCCCCUUACCCUGCUGUAAUUGCCUGGAUUCUGCACCCCAGGUGCCCUGAAGGUCUGCGUUGUGGGUGUUUAUUUGGGGCAAGGGGACUGAUCUUUUUUCUUUGAGGCUUUUCUUUUUUUAGCAAACACUUUACUUUUCUGUGAAAUGAUAACUCGGGCUGCACGCUGGAGCCAGCGACCUAGCCGGGGAGCUGUUUGACUCCUGACUCAGGAUGCAUGGCCCAGCCUCUGCUAUUAUCUUGAAAGGUGGCAGAAGUCUGACCCCUUCUGAAUGCGUUUCCUGUGGCUGUUAGAAAGUUACCACAAGCUGCAGCUUAAACCCACAGAAGCUAUUUUCUCACAGUUCUGGGGGCCGGAAGUCCGACAUCAGGGUGCCAGUGGGGCGUGCUCCCUCUGAAGGCGCUGGAGAAGGGCCCUUCUUUGCCCUCCCAGCUUCUGGCGGUCACCAGCAGUCCUUAGUGUGUGUUGGGCAGCUGCAUGGCUCUGACCUCUGCCUCUGUCUUCACAGGGAUUUCCUCCCUGUGUGUCUGUGUCUCUGGUCCUCUCCUCAUAAGGACACCUGUCAUUGGACUUAGGGCCCAUGCUGACCCAGUGUGACCCCUUCUCAAAUUGAUGAGCAUCUGCAAACACCCUGUUUCCAGGUGAAGUCCUACUCACAGGCACCAGGGGUGCCUUCAGUACAUCUUUGGGGGUAAACAUAACCCACAGCAUCUUCUUUUUCUUUUUUUUUUUUUUUUUUUGAGACAGAGUCUCGCACUGUCACCCAGUCUGGAGUGCCGUGGCGUGAUCUCAGCUCAUUACAACCUCCACCUCCUGGGUUCAAGGGAUUCUCCUGCCUCAGCCUUCAGAGUAGCUGGAAUUACAGGCACACACCACCACACCUGGCUAAUUUUUUGUAUUUUUAGUAGAGACAGGGUUUCUCCAUGUUGGCCAGGCUGGUCUCAAACUCCCAGCCUCAGGUGAUCUGUCUGCCUCGGCCUCCCAAAGUGCUGGGAUUACAGGUGUGAGCCACCUCGCCCAGCCUACCCACAGCAUCUUCUAUGUUAUUCUACCCAAGGACAGCCACUCCCAGAAGCUGCAGUGAGGAGAAGGCCUCCCACGUUUGGGGUUUCCAAUCUUGGGUGGCAGCAGGCUGGGAGCCGAGGCCCACUUGAGUCUUACUGUGCCUUCCUGCCAGGAGGGCGGCAGUUCCUGGCCCCUGGAGACAGCGAGGCUCCUGAGAGCAGCUGAGUGUCCCAAAGUCAUCAACACCCACCUCUUCUCAGGGGCAGCAACUGGAGGCUCACCUACCUUGCCCCUUUACUCCUCAAAACACCUGUGACCCAGGACAAUGCCCCUUAUUUUACAGAGGAGGAAGCGGAAGUGCAAACUAAGAGGAAGUCUCACAGCGGCAGGUGGGGUGCUGGGGGCCGGCUCGGCCAGGAACUCGGUGCUCUUGCAAGAACCCUGACAGGGCUUUGAUCCUGUCUUCCCGUCCAAGCCCGGCUUGUCGGGAUGGGGCGGCGGGGACUGCGCCUGCACAGCCACGGAGGAGCAGGGCAGCCUCUCCCAGCACAGUCCUGAAAGGAGGACUCCCCAUUUGAAGGGAAUAUGUCGAUUCCCUUUUAGAGAGCACUAGAGAGGACAUGGUGGAACCAGUGUGGCAGAAAGGGGUGAGUAAACCUCUUUUAUGAGACCCCAAAUUGCCCCAGGCUCUUUCCCCCUGGAGAUCAGAUCUUCCCCAGGGGAGGGUGUGAGAAGGUGGAAAGUGGGGUUAGGGAACACAUGGGGUUUCUGGGAUCCCCCUUUUUUUUAGAUGGAGUUUCGCCCUUGUUGCCCAGGCUGAAGUACAACGGUAAGAUCUCGGCUCACGACAACCUCCGCCUCCUGGAUUUAAGUGAUUCUCCUGCCUUAGCCUCCCCAGUAGCUGGGAUUACAGGCAUGUGCCACCACACUCAGCUAAUUUUUGUAUUUUUAGUAAAGAUGGGGUUUCUCCAUGUUGGUCAGACUGGUCUCAAACUCCUGACCUCAAGUGAUCUGCCUACCUUGGCCUCCCAAAGUGCUGGGAUUACAGGUGUGAGCCAUUUUACCUGGCCCUGCCUAGAUAUUUUGGUUUUGGGUUUAAUUGGCUCCUCAGCUGAGUCCACGGGCUGAGGAGCUUCAUCACACCUGUUUCCUCACCUGUGAGUGGGGAGGGGUGCUCAUCUGGCAGGGCAGUGGCAAGGCCAGCCGUGCCUGCCCUUCCAUCUACGGUUCAGGGCUGGACCAGGGCUGAAGGAGGCAUGGCCAGCUUUGGAGGAAGGCCUGGGAGUUGCAGCUCUGCCUGGCACUGACAUCUGGUUGCAUCUGGGCUGCAAAUUCUUUCUAAUCCUCAACUUCUCUCACCCUGCUGCCAGCCAGCCUGCCCCUCUAGCUUCAUUUAAAAGUUCAGGCCCGGCGCAGUGGCUCAUGCCUAUAAUCCCAGCACUUUAGGAGGCUGAGGUGGGUGAAUCACAAGAUCUGGAGUUCAAGACCAGCCUGACCAAUAUGGUGAAACCCCAUCUCUACUAAAAAUACAAAACGUAGCCAGGCGUGGUGGUGUGCCCCUGUAAUCCCAACUACUCAGGAGGCUGAGGCAGGAGAAUCACUUGAAUCCAGGAGGCGCAGGUUGUAGUGCACUGAGAUUGCACUACUGUACUCCAGCCUGGGUGACAGAGCGAGACUCCAACUCAAAAAAAAAAAAAAGUUCAGACUGGAUUCAAAAGUAGGCUGAUACAUAAAGACCUAUUAAAACUCAACAGUAAGAAAACAACUCAAUUAAAAAAUGGGCAAAAGACCUGAACAGACACUUCACCAAAGACAAUAUACAGAUGGCAAAUAAAUAUAUAUGUCACAUCAUAUGUCAUGAGGGAAAUGCAAAUUAAAACAGCAAUGAUAUACCGCUGCACAUCUAUCAGAAUGGCCCAAAUCCAAAACACCACCAGCUGCAAGUGCUGGUGAGACCGCAGAGCAGCAGGGAUUCUCAUUCAGGGCUGGUAAUUCAAAAUGCUACAGCCAACAGCUUGGCAGCUUCUUACAAAGCUAAAUAUACUUUUACCAUAUGAUCCAGCAAUCAUACUCCUUGGCAUUUACCUGAAUCAGCUGGAAACUGUGUCCAGGAACUUCAGGGUAGCGGAACAUGUGGAGGUUCCUGGAAGGUGGUCAUCCAGGGAGGGCACAGAAGUUCUGUGUCCCCUCCUCCGUACCUCGCCCUGUGCAUUUCUUCAUCUGUAUCCUUAGCAAAGACCUUUACAAUAAAUGGGUAAACCUUGGUAUGCCCACGUGACUAAGCACUGGCCAAUGGAGCAUGAUCAGAAGCGGUACAAGAUGACUCUCUCUCUCCUUUUUCUCUUUCAUUGGAUGGAACGAGGCCUUAGAACGGAGCCAUCUUGGGCCAGAUGAGGGCACCCAUCCUGAAAUGCUGGAAAACCAAGAUGCAUCUUUGGCAGAUUAUAUUUUCCAAAGAUAGAGGCCACACUAUGUCCCAUUCCACAAGCACUUCUUCUGUGACUUUGACACUCCUCCUGUUGAGAGGUGGCAUCUAUGUCCCCUCCCCAUGAGCUGUAGCAGGAGGGCCUUUGUGACUCUCUUGACCAAUAGAGUAUGCCAGCCUUGACAGUGUGUGGCUGCCAAGGCCAGUUUUUUUAAAAAAAUGCCUUUCACUUCCACCUUGUUCCCUGGGAUCCACUCUUGGAACCUAGCCGCCGUGCUGGGAGGAAGCACAACCAGGCCUUGGAAAGGCCCACAUGGAGGGGAACCACAGUCCCUAGCCCAAAUACCCUGCUGAGCUCCCAGCUGACAGACAGCACCAACUUACCAGCCACGAGUGAGCUUUCCUGGAAGUGAUUCUACAGCCUCUGGGCGAGCCACGUCAGCUGAUGCCACAUGAAGCGGAGAUGAACUACCUCCACCAAGCCCUGCCCAAAUUGCGGCUCUUCGAGCAAAACAAAUGACUGUGAUUGUUAGAAGCAAAAAAGAAAAUGGAUUCCACUCAAAAACUUGGCUGUGAACGUUUAGAACAGCUUUAUUCAUAACUGCCAAAACUUGGAGGCGACCAAGAUGUCCUUUGGUAGGUGAAUUUGUAAACAAACUGUGAUACAUCCAGACAAUGGAAUAUUAUUCAGUGCUAAAUAGAAAUGAGGCAUCAAGCCAUGAGAUGCGGAGGAAUCUCAGAUGCAUGUUACCAGGGAAAAGGAGCCAAUCGGAGAGCCUACAAACUUAAAGCUCCAACUCCGCGAUGAUCUGGAAAAGGUAAAACUAUGAAGACAGUCAUAAGAUCAGUGGUUUUCCAGGGUGAGGAGGGAGGGAUGUUUAGGGGGAGCACAGAGGACUUUUUGGGCAAUGGAACCACUCUAUGGUGCGGUAAUAGUGGAUACAUCUUAUUAAAGAUUUGUGAAAACAUGUAGAAUACACGGCGCCAGGAGGGAACCCUAAUGUGAACUGUGUUUGGCUGACGACACGUCAGUGUAGGCUCAUGGAUUGGAACACACGGCCCACUCUGGUAGGGGAUGUGGAUGACUGGGCGGCUGGCCUGUGGAUGUGGGUGAGGUGGCACACGGGAAAUCUCCGUAUCUUCCACCCAACGUUGCUAUGAACGUAAAACUGCUCA